GGAAUGCAGACGAAUCAUGAUUCUGGGGUGGAGGAGCAAACAACGGAGGAAUUCCCAGUAAUGGUGGAAAGAAGGGCGCUCCGCUACGGUGCUCCGGAUCAAAACUAGGACCUCAAACAUGUGAACUUUCACAUGGAGCCAGUAUGUGGAAAAGCAUCUAAAUACCCUAGAAUCUGGCAUGGAAGGAAAGUGAACACCAUUUGCCAUUUCAUACAAAGGCUUCAGUGGCACAUUCCCUACAUCACUCUGGACUAGAAAAAGUUUGGUUUUUUUUCCCUGAGGAUCUACUGUAUUUACUAGCACUAGGCUACCCUGAGGUGAGUAGCUUUUCUCUCCAACCCUUCUGCCAUGUUUUGGCCUCCCCAUAGUCCAGAAGCAACAGUGCCAAGUGAUGAUGGAACGAAACCUCUGAAACUAUAGGUAAAAAAUAAAUCUUUCCUCCUAUUUUUUCCUCAUGCUAUUUGGUCUCAACUACUACAAGUAAACUAACACAGGCCUAUUUUUGUAAAUAAAAUGUUACUUUUACCAUAACAGCAGAAUACUGUAGUUGUGACAAGACCAUAAUGCCUACAAAAUCUAAAAUAUUACCUGAUCCU